CAAUCAGGAGAAAACACAAGCGAUCACAGCUGUCAAGGAGAGAUGGUCAAAUGUCCAGACAAGUGUCAUGUGUUUAAGAGUUAGAGUUGGCUAUUUAUAGUUGGGAAAUAACAAGAAUGUGGAGGGGAGAACCAGAAAAAGAGCAAACCCAAAAACAACCAAACACACACAGAAUCAAAGAUGAGUCUCAACAAUUAUUAGACAAUGCUAAUGAUCUGUCGAAUCUAUCACGCGAUUCUAUCAUACUUUGAUUCUUCAUACAAAAAUCGAUUUUUCAAAAUCCAAAACAGAAGCGAUGAUAUUUGCGUCUUGGCGAGGAAGAAAAAAGAAGAAAUAGAUCUAUACUCAGAUGAUGGUGAUUGGCGAUUUGGCGAUCGAACCAAUCCUGCUUUGCUGAAAUCACACUCAACCUGUUUGGUUUUAAUAAAAGAUACACAGUAAUCCCAUCUCUAUUUUUCUUUUCCUUUUUUCUUUUUCUUUUUUCUUGUCAAGCAUAUAUACCAGGCCCAGGGAAGUCAGCAACGAGCCCAAUGGGUUAAAAAGACAACGACAAUUAUGGAGAAUGCUCAAAGAAGUAGCAAAAAGACUCCAAGCUAAAGCCAUAAAAGAAGGAUCCAACAACUAUGAAAAGUCAAAAGCGAGGAGUUGACAAAGAACAUGACACGAGAUGUCAAAAUCACGAAACGAGAUGUCAAAACCACGACACGAGACAUCGUCGGAGCAGCAGGUACAUUAGGAUGGGAGGGCAGCCAGCCAUUUAGCAAACGAUCAGUGAGCUCAUCUUCAAUAUAAAGUACCUGGUGAAAAUCAAGAAUGGGCAAUGCCUUUCCGACAUGUAUGUACUGGCAACAUUGAAACCCCUCAGUCAAAUCUGCAGCUAUGCAUGCAGAGCGUUUGGCUUGCGGCGAACAUUGUGACAGUGGCCAGCAUAAAAAAAUGACCCAGCAACGGCGUUUGCAAAAGUAGGCAUAUUCCCUCCCCCAACAGCAUAACUAACGAAAGGAGAUGGAGAGGUAAUAUACACAGACCACUCCUUUUUCAGUUGAGCUAAGUGAAGGCAGAUGUCCACGAGCAGCUUACGAGUCCGUUCAGAGAGAUACUACAAAUGUGAAAAGAGAGAAUCAUCAUUGGUCACGAUUUAAAUCCCAGCAAACGAACUCUGAUGAUAAACCAGUUCGAGUGUGAAUUCCUCGAAUACAGCUAUAACCAUUGCAAACAGUGACAAGUGGAAAGUAGAGGGUUAGCUAGAAAGGUUGUGAAGGGGUGGAAGUAGUGUUGGUAUCCCAACAUCGAUAUUAUACUCCUACCUGGCCAAUCAGGGGAAAACACAAGCGAUCGCAGCUAUCAAGGAGAGAUGGCCAAAUGUCCAGACAGGUGUCGUGUAUCUAAGAGUUAGAGUUGACUAUUUAUAGUUGGGAAAUAACAAAAAUGUGGAGGGGAGAACCAUAGAAAGAGCAAACCCAAAAACAACCAAACACACAUAGAAUCAAAGAUGAGUCUCAACAUAAUCUAUUUAAUUAAUAGAUGCUUGUAAAACGAAAUAGUUAACAAAAAAAUUUAAGAAAUCUUUCUCAAUCUCAGACUCUUUCAGA
rnacentral:lncRNA from 1 species